rnacentral:rRNA from 1 species
UACGUAGGGGCAAGCGUUGUCCGGAUUCAUUGGGCGUAAAGAGCGUGUAGGCGGUUCGGUAAGUCUGUCGUGAAAUCCUGAGGCUCAACCUCGGGCGUGCGAAUGGAUACUGCCGGGCUAGAGGGUGGUAGAGGCGGAGUGGAAUUCCCGGUGUAGCGGUGAAAUGCGUAGAUAUCGUAAGGAAGACCAGUGGCGAAGGCGGGUCUCUGGACAGUUCCUGACGCUGAGGCACGAAGGUCAGGGGAGCAAACGGG